rnacentral:rRNA from 1 species
CCCUCCGUAGGGGGAACCUGCGGAGGGAUCAUUACAAGUGACCCCGGCUCGGCCGGGAUGUUCAUAACCCUUUGUUGUCCGACUCUGUUGCCUCCGGGGCGACCCCGCCUUCGGGCGGGGGCUCCGGGUGGACACUUCAAACUCUUGCGUAACUUUGCAGUCUGAGUAAACUUAAUUAAUAAAUUAAAACUUUUAACAACGGAUCUCUUGGUUCUGGCAUCGAUGAAGAACGCAGCGAAAUGCGAUAAGUAAUGUGAAUUGCAGAAUUCAGUGAAUCAUCGAAUCUUUGAACGCACAUUGCGCCCCCUGGUAUUCCGGGGGGCAUGCCUGUUCGAGCGUCAUUUCACCACUCAAGCCUCGCUUGGUAUUGGGCAACGCGGUCCGCCGCGUGCCUCAAAUCGUCCGGCUGGGUCUUCUGUCCCCUAAGCGUUGUGGAAACUAUUCGCUAAAGGGUGUUCGGGAGGCUACGCCGUAAAACAACCCCAUUUCUAAGGUUGACCUCGGAUCAGGUAGGGAUACCCGCUGAACUUAAGCAUAUCAAUAAGCGGAGGAA